rnacentral:rRNA from 1 species
CCUACGGGAGUCAGCAGUGGGGAAUAUUGGACAAUGGGGGGAACCCUGAUCCAGCGACGCCGCGUGAGUGAAGAAGUAUUUCGGUAUGUAAAGCUCUAUCAGCAGGGAAGAAAGAAAUGACGGUACCUGACUAAGAAGCCCCGGCUAACUACGUUCCAGCAGCCGCGGUAAUACGUAGGGGGCAAGCGUUAUCCGGAUUUACUGGGGGUAAAGGGAGCGUAGACGGCGAUGCAAGUCUGAAGUGAAAGGCGGGGGCCCAACCCCCGGACUGCUUUGGAAACUGUAUGGCUGGAGUGCAGGAGAGGUAAGUGGAAUUCCUAGUGUAGCGGUGAAAUGCGUAGAGAUUAGGAGGAACACCAGUGGCGAAGGCGGCUUACUGGACUGUAACUGACGUUGAGGCUCGAAAGCGUGGGGAGCAAACAGGAUUAGAUACCCCUGUAGUC